rnacentral:rRNA from 1 species
CCUACGGGUGGCAGCAGUGAGGAAUAUUGGUCAAUGGGCGGGAGCCUGAACCAGCCAAGUCGCGUGAGGGACGACGGUCCUAUGGAUUGUAAACCUCUUUUGUCGGGGAACAAAGGCGCCCACGGGUGGGCGGAUGAGUGUACCCGAAGAAAAAGCAUCGGCUAACUCCGGGCCAGCAGCCGCGGGAAUACGGGGGAGGCGAGCGUUAUCCGGAUUUAUUGGGUUUAAAGGGUCCGUGGGGGGAAUGCCAAGUCAGCGGGAAAAUCGCGGGGCUCAACCUCGCUGCGGCGUUGAAACUGGCGUUCUUGAGGGGGCGAGAGGUAAGCGGAAUGCGUGGUGUAGCGGUGAAAUGCAUAGAUAUCACGCGGAACUCCGAUUGCGAAGGCAGCAUACCGGCGCCCAACUGACGCUGAGGCACGAAAGCGUGGGUAGCGAACAGGAUUAGAUACCCGAGUAGUC